rnacentral:rRNA from 1 species
AACAAACGCUGGCGGCGUGCCUAAUACAUGCAAGUCGAACGGGGAAAGCUUUCGGGUGAGUACUAGUGGCGCACGGGUGAGUAACGCGUGGAUAAUCUGCCCUCGAAUGGGGAAUAACUAGUCGAAAGAUUAGCUAAUACCGCAUAAGACCACGACUACUGAGGUAGUUGGGGUCAAAGGAGCAAUUCGUUUGAGGAUGAGUCCGCGUAAGAUUAGCUAGUUGGUGAGGUAAUGGCUCACCAAGGCGAUGACCUUUAACUGGUCUGAGAGGAUGAUCAGUCACACUGGAACUGAGACACGGUCCAGACUCCUACGGGAGGCAGCAGUAGGGAAUAUUGGACAAUGGGGGCAACCCUGAUCCAGCGACGCCGCGUGAGCGAUGAAGGCCUUCGGGUCGUAAAGCUCUGUUGUAAGGGAAAAAGUCCUGAUUGUACCUUACGAGAAAGGAUCGGCUAACUUCGUGCCAGCCGCCGCCGUAA